GAUGAACGCUGGCGGUAUGCUUUACACAUGCAAGUCAUACGGGAGUUAGCUUCGGCUAAUUCCAGUGGCGGACGGGUGAGUAACACGUGAGAAUUCGCCUUUAGGAGGGGGAUAACAGGGGGAAACUCCUGCUAAAACCCCAUAUGCCUUCGGGUCAAAAGAGUAAUCUGCCUAAAGAGAAGCUCGCGGCUGAUUAGCUAGUUGGUGGGGUAAAGGCCUACCAAGGCGACGAUCAGUAGCUGGUCUGAGAGGAUGAUCAGCCACACUGGAACUGAGACACGGUCCAGACUCCUACGGGUGGCAG
rnacentral:rRNA from 1 species